rnacentral:rRNA from 1 species
CAGUAGCCACGGGAAUACGUAGGUGGCAAGCGUUGUCCGGAAUUAUUGGGCGUCAAGCGCGCGCAGGUGGUUUAAUAAGUCUGAUGUGAAAGCCCACGGCUCAACCGUGGAGGGUCAUUGGAAACUGUUAAACUUGAGUGCAGGAGAGAAAAGUGGAAUUCCUAGUGUAGCGGUGAAAUGCGUAGGGAUUAGGAGGAACACCAGUGGCGAAGGCGGCUUUUUGGCCUGUAACUGACACUGAGGCGCGAAAGCGUGGGGAGCAAACAGGAUUAGAUACCCCCGUAGUCCCUGUCUCUUAUAC